rnacentral:rRNA from 1 species
AACGACGCUGGCGGCGCGCCUAACACAUGCAAGUCGAGCGAGAAUGAGGGCUUCGGCCUUCUAGUAAAGCGGCGCACGGGUGAGUAACACGUGGGUAAUCUGCCCAACGGUGCAGGAAAACGCUCCGAAAGGAACGCUAAUACUGCAUAAGACCACAGUUUCUGCGGAGACAGGGGUCAAAGAGGGUCUGCUUCGGCAGGCACUUGCCGAUGGAUGAGCCCGCGGCCCAUUAGCUAGUUGGUGAGGUAAUGGCUCACCAAGGCUACGACGGGUAGCUGGUCUGAGAGGAUGAUCAGCCACACUGGAACUGAGACACGGUCCAGACUCCUACGGGAGGCAGCAGUGGGGAAUCUUGCGCAAUGGGCGAAAGCCUGACGCAGCGACGCCGCGUGGGUGACGAAGGCCUUCGGGUUGUAAAGCCCUGUGGGGAGGAACGAACCGUCCGGGGGCUAAUACCCUCCGGGCCUGACGGUACCUCUUUAGCAAGCAUCGGCUAACUCUGUG